AUUGAACGCUGGCGGCAUGCCUUACACAUGCAAAUCGAACGGUAACGGGCCUUCGGGUGCCGACGAGUGGCGAACGGGUGAGUAAUACAUUGGAACGUGCCCGAUCGUGGGGGAUAACGAGGCGAAAGCUUUGCUAAUACCGCAUACGAUCUACGGAUGAAAGCAGGGGACCGCAAGGCCUUGCGCGGACGGAGCGGCCGAUGGCAGAUUAGGUAGUUGGUGGGAUAAAAGCUUACCAAGCCGACGAUCUGUAGCUGGUCUGAGAGGAUGAUCAGCCACACUGGGACUGAGACACGGCCCAGACUCCUACGGGAGGCAGCAGUGGGGAAUUUUGGACAAUGGGCGCAAGCCUGAUCCAGCCAUGCCGCGUGCAGGAUGAAGGCCUUCGGGUUGUAAACUGAUUUUGUACGGAACGAAAAGCCUUCUUUUAAUACAGGAGGGUCAUGACGGUACCGUAAGAAUAAGCACCGGCUAACUACGUG
rnacentral:rRNA from 1 species